rnacentral:piRNA from 1 species
UGAACUUAACCAGUAUAUCACUAUUGACCAA